rnacentral:rRNA from 1 species
UACGAAGGGGGGCUAGCGUUGCUCGGAAUCACUGGGCGUAAAGCGCACGUAGGCGGCUUUCUAAGUCAGGGGUGAAAUCCUGGAGCUCAACUCCAGAACUGCCUUUGAUACUGAGGAUCUUGAGUUCGGGAGAGGUGAGUGGAACUGCGAGUGUAGAGGUGAAAUUCGUAGAUAUUCGCAAGAACACCAGUGGCGAAGGCGGCUCACUGGCCCGAUACUGACGCUGAGGCACGAAAGCGUGGGGGAGCAAACAGG